rnacentral:misc_RNA from 1 species
AAAAAUUUUGGUUUUCAUCAAGCCAUAACAUUUUGUGCACCACAUCUGUCCUUGGUAGUUCGAGUGUCUUCGAAGUCUUUUCAACAGCUUCGCGGACCUACUUGUAAGGGAGAGAGGGAUUGUUUUCUUUCUGCCUUGCAGGUUGGGCUACCGAUUUUUUCAUAUUAACCUUGAAUAAAUUUUUCAUCUGACUGGUUAAUCAAUCAAGAUUAAUUAGAACGCAA